rnacentral:pre_miRNA from 1 species
UUGGGGUGAGGUAGUAGGUUGUAUAGUUUUAGGGUUGAGCCCUUGCUGUGAGAUAACUAUACAACUUACUGUCUUUCCUGA